UUGUCUCAAAGAUUAAGCCAUGCAUGUCUCAGUACAAGCCAAAUUAAGGUGAAACCGCGAAAGGCUCAUUAAAUCAGUUAUGGUUCCUUAGAUCGUACCCACAUUUACUUGGAUAACUGUGGUAAUUCUAGAGCUAAUACAUGCAAACAGAGCUCCGACCGGAGACGGAAGGAGCGCUUUUAUUAGAUCAAAACCAAUCGGUGGCGAUUUACGUCGUCAUCGUACAACUUGGUGACUCUGAAUAACUUUAUGCUGAUCGCACGGUCUUGCACCGGCGACGCAUCUUUCAAAUGUCUGCCUUAUCAACUGUCGAUGGUAGGUUCUGCGCCUACCAUGGUUGUAACGGGUAACGGGGAAUCAGGGUUCGAUUCCGGAGAGGGAGCCUGAGAAACGGCUACCACAUCCAAGGAAGGCAGCAGGCGCGCAAAUUACCCACUCCCGGCACGGGGAGGUAGUGACGAAAAAUAACGAUACGGGACUCAUCCGAGGCCCCGUAAUCGGAAUGAGUACACUCUAAACCCUUUAACGAGGAUCAAUUGGAGGG
rnacentral:rRNA from 1 species